rnacentral:lncRNA from 1 species
GUUCGAAUUCAAAAUCAAGAUCAAGACACAAAACAAAUUAAGUUGAAGUCAAGCAUGUUGUUUGCAACCCUAUGGCUUAUAUGAUUUGACGGAUUUUCUUGAAUUAUCGAGCAUAUCUGUUCUGACUGGAUUCCACGUACCUUUGGAAUUGAAUUACUCUUUCUAUUGUUAGCAUGAAAUCACCAUAUAGAAAGCCAGA